UACGAAGGGGGCUAGCGUUGUUCGGAUUUACUGGGCGUAAAGAGCUCGUAGGCGGUUUGUCGCGUCUGUCGUGAAAGCUUGGGGCUUAACCCCAAGUCUGCGGUGGAUACGGGCAGACUAGAGGCAGGUAGGGGAGAACGGAAUUCCCGGUGUAGCGGUGAAAUGCGCAGAUAUCGGGAGGAACACCGGUGGCGAAGGCGGUUCUCUGGGCCUGUACUGACGCUGAGGAGCGAAAGCGUGGGGAGCGAACAGG
rnacentral:rRNA from 1 species